UCGAGCGUCAUUACAACCCUCAAGCCUAGCUUGGUAUUGGGCUUCGCCGUUCACGCGGUGGGCUCUAAAACUAGUGGCGGUGCUAUCGUAGCCUGAGCGUAGUAAAUAUCCUCGCUAUAGGGACACGGUGGUCACUGGCCAACAACCCCCAACUUUCUAAGUUUGACCUCGGAUCAGGUAGGGAUACCCGCUGAACUUAA
rnacentral:misc_RNA from 1 species